CCCGGGGCUUAACCCCGGGUCUGCAGUCGAUACGGGCAGGCUAGAGUGUGGUAGGGGAGAUCGGAAUUCCUGGUGUAGCGGUGAAAUGCGCAGAUAUCAGGAGGAACACCGGUGGCGAAGGCGGAUCUCUGGGCCAUUACUGACGCUGAGGAGCGAAAGCGUGGGGAGCGAACAGGAUUAGAUACCCUGGUAGUCCACGCCGUAAACGGUGGGAACUAGGUGUUGGCGACAUUCCACGUCGUCGGUGCCGCAGCUAACGCAUUAAGUUCCCCGCCUGGGGAGUACGGCCGCAAGGCUAAAACUCAAAGGAAUUGACGGGGGCCCGCACAAGCAGCGGAGCAUGUGGCUUAAUUCGACGCAACGCGAAGAACCUUACCAAGGCUUGACAUAUACCGGAAAGCAUCAGAGAUGGUGCCCCCCUUGUGGUCGGUAUACAGGUG
rnacentral:rRNA from 1 species